rnacentral:rRNA from 1 species
GACGAACGCUGGCGGCGCGCUUAACACAUGCAAGUCGAACGGAAAGGCCCUGCUUUUGUGGGGUGCUCGAGUGGCGAACGGGUGAGUAACACGUGAGUAACCUGCCCUUGACUUUGGGAUAACUUCAGGAAACUGGGGCUAAUACCGGAUAGGAGCUCCUGCUGCAUGGUGGGGGUUGGAAAGUUUCGGCGGUUGGGGAUGGACUCGCGGCUUAUCAGCUUGUUGGUGGGGUAGUGGCUUACCAAGGCUUUGACGGGUAGCCGGCCUGAGAGGGUGACCGGCCACAUUGGGACUGAGAUACGGCCCAGACUCCUACGGGAGGCAGCAGUGGGGAAUAUUGCACAAUGGGCGGAAGCCUGAUGCAGCAACGCCGCGUGCGGGAUGACGGCCUUCGGGUUGUAAACCGCUUUCGCCUGUGACGAAGCGUGAGUGACGGCAAUGGGUAAAGAAGCACCGGCUAACUACGUG